CCUACGGUGGCUGCAGUGGGGAAUAUUGGACAAUGGGCGAAAGCCUGAUCCAGCCAUGCCGCGUGUGUGAAGAAGGCCUUCGGGUUGUAAAGCACUUUCAGUGGGGAAGAAAGCCUUGGGGCUAAUACCCUCGAGGAAGGACAUCACCCACAGAAGAAGCACCGGCUAACUCCGUGCCAGCAGCCGCGGUAAUACGGAGGGUGCGAGCGUUAAUCGGAAUUACUGGGCGUAAAGCGCGCGUAGGCGGUCUGAUAAGCCGGUUGUGAAAGCCCCGGGCUCAACCUGGGAACGGCAUCCGGAACUGUCAGGCUAGAGUGCAGGAGAGGAAGGUAGAAUUCCCGGUGUAGCGGUGAAAUGCGUAGAGAUCGGGAGGAAUACCAGUGGCGAAGGCGGCCUUCUGGACUGACACUGACGCUGAGGUGCGAAAGCGUGGGUAGCAAACAGGAUUAGAUACCCUGUAGUC
rnacentral:rRNA from 1 species